GAAAAGGGCGGCAGCUACCAUGCAGUCGAGCGGAGAGAGGUAGCUUGCUACUGAUCUUAUCGGCGGACGGGUGAGUAAUGCUUAUGAAUCUGCCUAUGACUGGGGGACAGCAUUUCCUAAGGAAUGCUAAUACCGCAUACGUCCUACGGCACAAAACAGGGGAUCUUCAGACCUUGCGCUCAUGCAUGAGCCUGAGUCCGAUUAGCUAUUUGGUGGGGUAAAGGCCUACCCUCGCCACGAUCUGUAUCGGGUCUGAGAGGAUGAUCCGCCCCACUGGGACUGAAACUCAGACCAGACUCCUACUGGAGGCAGCAGUGGGGAAUAUUGAACAAUGGGCGCAAGCCUGAUCCAGCCAUGCCCCGUGUGUGAAUAAGGCCUUAUGGUUGUAAAGCACUUUAACCGAGGAGGAGGCUACUUUAAUUAAUACCUAUAGAUAUUGGACGUUACUCUCAGAAUAAACACCGGCUAACUCUGUGCCGGCCCCCCGCACCGCAA
rnacentral:rRNA from 1 species